AUUGAACGCUGGCGGCAGGCCUAACACAUGCAAGUCGAGCGGUAGAGAGGAGCUUGCUUCUCUUGAGAGCGGCGGACGGGUGAGUAAUGCCUAGGAAUCUGCCUGGUAGUGGGGGAUAACGUUCGGAAACGGACGCUAAUACCGCAUACGUCCUACGGGAGAAAGUGGGGGAUCUUCGGACCUCACGCUAUCAGAUGAGCCUAGGUCGGAUUAGCUAGUUGGUGAGGUAAAGGCUCACCAAGGCGACGAUCCGUAACUGGUCUGAGAGGAUGGUCAGUCACACUGGAACUGAGACACGGUCCAGACUCCUACGGGAGGCAGCAGUGGGGAAUAUUGGACAAUGGGCGCAAGCCUGAUCCAGCCAUGCCGCGUGUGUGAAGAAGGUCUUCGGAUUGUAAAGCACUUUAAGUUGGGAGGAAGGUCAGUAGCUUAAUACGUUGCUGAUUUGACGUUACCGACAGAAUAAGCACCGGCUAACUCUGUGCCAGCCGCCGCGGUAAUAC
rnacentral:rRNA from 1 species